rnacentral:rRNA from 1 species
GACGAACGCUGGCGGCGUGCUUAACACAUGCAAGUCGAGCGGUAAGGCCCUUUCGGGGUACGACGAGCGGCGAACGGGUGAGUAACACGUGGGUGACCUGCCCUCAGCUCUGGGAUAAGCCUGGGAAACCGGGUCUAAUACUGGAUAUGACUCCAUGACGCAUGUUGUGGGGUGGAAAGCCUUGUGCGGCUGAGGAUGGGCCCGCGGCCUAUCAGCUUGUUGGUGGGGUGAGGCCUACCAAGGCGACGACGGGUAGCCGGCCUGAGAGGGCGACCGGCCACACUGGGACGUGAGACACGGCCC